rnacentral:lncRNA from 1 species
AAUUUGAAUCAAUAGGUUGUUUGGAAUACCUCUUUCUCUGCUGAGUUCUGUCACGGUUUUUCUUUCUAAGAAAUCUGCUGAAUUUCCUGGUGAGCAGACUCACAGUCUCAUCAUGUUCUGGAUCACCUUCUUCCUCACUUGCAUCAUGUUCUAUGGUAGUUUUCAGAGCAAUUCCUUUGGCCUUCUUUUCCACUGUUUCUUGUUCUUUCAAUCUUUUCAGCUCAAUUUCAUGUUCUAUCAGCUUUCCAAAAAGUGCAGCAGUGGAGAUCUUGGAUAAAUCUCUGGAUUCUGAGAUUG